rnacentral:rRNA from 1 species
UACGUAGGUGGCAAGCGUUGUCCGGAAUUACUGGGCGUAAAGCGCGUGUAGGCGGCUUUGCAAGUCGGGUGUGAAAUCCCCAGGCUUAACCUGGGAACUGCAUCCGAGACUGCAUUGCUAGAGUAUGGGAGAGGGAAGUGGAAUUUCAGGUGUAGCGGUGAAAUGCGUAGAUAUCUGAAGGAACAUCAGUGGCGAAAGCGACUUCCUGGACCAAUACUGAUGCUCAUGUGCGAAAGCGUGGGGAGCAAACAGG